rnacentral:rRNA from 1 species
UACGGGGGGGGCAAGCGUUGUUCGGAAUUACUGGGCGUAAAGGGUUCGUAGGUGGCCUGCUAAGUCAGACGUGAAAUCCCUCAGCUUAACUGGGGAACUGCGUCUGAGACUGGGAGGCUUGAGUGCAGGAGAGGAACGCGGAAUUCCAGGUGUAGCGGUGAAAUGCGUAGAUAUCUGGAGGAACACCGGUGGCGAAGGCGGCAUCCUGGACCGAGAUUGACGCUGAGGCGCGAAAGCCAGGGGAGCAAACGGG